UACGUAGGGUGCGAGCGUUGUCCGGAAUUAUUGGGCGUAAAGAGCUCGUAGGCGGCCUGUCGCGUCGGAUGUGAAAGCCCGGGGCUUAACCCCGGGUCUGCAUUCGAUACGGGCAGGCUAGAGUGUGGAAGGGGAGAUCGGAAUUCCUGGUGUAGCGGUGAAAUGCGCAGAUAUCAGGAGGAACACCGGUGGCGAAGGCGGAUCGCUGGGCCAUUACUGACGCUGAGGAGCGAAAGCGUGGGGAGCGAACAGG
rnacentral:rRNA from 1 species